UUCCCGAUCCCUUCUCCCCUCACCAAUCUCGCGCCGAACUCCCUCUUCCGCAAGCACCUCAGCACGAGAUAGCCGCCUAUCCUCAGCGUGAGAUCGCGCCACCGUCCCCUUCCUCUUUCUCCCUCACCCGAACGACAACGGGCGAUCUUCUUCUCCACACGCGAGCCCUCCAGCGCCGGCGAUCGCUCCCUCACUCGAGCCAGAUAGCCAGCGAUCAUUGCAACCGGCGACCUCCCUUCCUCACGCGCGAGCACCGCAGCAGCCGGCGAUCGGCUUCCUUCCCUCGCACGAGCAUCCCUGGACACCGUCGGCUUCUCCUCACGCGGCCACCAUAGUCGCAACAGUAUUCGACCUCAUCGCCUCCACUCGUGGGUUGACCUUCGUCCAAGAGGGGGAAAGCCUGAACCCUAGCUUCGAUUCCUCGUCACCAUCCCUACGGGUUCCAACUGGAGAGGGCGCUGUGGACACUGAGAUUGGCGAUUGCAAUGUAGCUUUGGUAAUGAAUCCUCAGCAACAACUUCUUCGGUGGUGGAUCAACAGUGAUACAUCCGGAUUUAGGACACUGCUAUGAGCCAAGUGUUCCGAAGUGGAGACAACCUAGCGCGAUCGACAAAUAAAGGCGAGUACUUCUUGCUUUGUCUCUUUUAGUACUUUGACCUUAGUGCAUGAAUUAUUUUGGAUAAGGACUGUUUACCUUGACUCCACUCUUAUUUGUUAGGACCUUCGGAUGCGACUAGAGAG